rnacentral:rRNA from 1 species
UACGUAGGGACCAAGCGUUGUUCGGAUUUACUGGGCGUAAAGGGCGCGUAGGCGGCGUGUUAAGUCACUUGUGAAAUCUCUAAGCUUAACUUAGAACGGUCAAGUGAUACUGACGUGCUAGAGUGCAGAAGGGGCAACCGGAAUUCUUGGUGUAGCGGUGAAAUGCGUAGAUAUCAAGAGGAACACCUGAGGUGAAGACGGGUUGCUGGGCUGACACUGACGCUGAGGCGCGAAAGCUAGGGUAGCAAACGGG